CUCUGAGAUAAUCCCUAAAAACUGAAAAACCAACAACUUUCAGUAUAAGCAUGUUGGUUUUGUUUUUGUUAGAACUGUGGAGUUAAUGAUCAAAAGAAACAACUGCUGACCUUGGAGAGCAGGGAUCAAGGGGCAGGGAAUCAAGGGGCAGGAGACAGCAGGGGAUGUUUGGUAACAAUUCUAGCAGUACUUCUGGCUCUUUAAAUCCUGUGCAUAUGUAAUUAAUAAAACUGGAAAUGUAGAAUCUAAGUGUGAGUAGAUGAUACAUUGAUGGGGACAGAUGAUUUUUAUUCAAGGACACUGGCUGUGAAGGUGACGAGAAGGGUGGGUGGGGAGCUGGUGGGUGAAGGGAGGGCUUCUGAAGAUGUGCUUGUGCUGCUGAUGGAGACGACGCAGUGGAGAAGGGAAGCAGAGAAAGGGAGAGCGAAGAGGAGCUGUAUUCCUCCUGCCGCCAGCUUCGGAGGCGGCAAGAAGAACUGAACAACCAGCUCUUUCUGUACGACACCCACCAGAACCUGCGCAGCGCCACCCGUGAUGCCAUGGUCAGAGAAUUCAACGUCAACGAGAACCAGCUGCAGCUGUACCAGGAGAAGUGCAACCGCAGGUGGGUCACAGCCUGCAGCCACUGUGAGGUCAGGCCUGGGCCAGGGCGGAGGGCAAGGCUCCCCCUUCAGAAAGCCUGAGCCCUGACCCCUCUUCUCUUGGCUCCAUCAAUUACUUAUACUAAGAGCUCAAGCAUCUGCACCUUCCCUGAGCUGAACUGUCCUCCUGAGCACGCCCAGGAAAGAGUGAAAAUAAGCAAUGACCAUUACUGUU
rnacentral:lncRNA from 1 species